UACUUGUUUAUGAGAGUAAAGAGACUGAGAGACGUUUACGUUGUACUAUAUUAUACAAUACAUUAUACGAUUAUUGAAGUCUGUUGCAUUCGCGCAUGCGAGCUUAUCCUAUAAAUUAUGUGUUUGUGUUUUAUUUUAUAAAUAAUUUAUCUUCGGUUGAACUGGUGAAUAAGAACAUAAUUAUUAAUAUUCACUUUGAAUUCAAUGUCUCUUGAAAACUAAGUUUCCUUUGUGUAAAUUGUUUAUUUUUGUCCAAAUCAUAACUUCCUCCUAAUAAUUAUAAUGUUUUUUUAAAACUUAAUACAUAAUGCAGUAAACACAUUCCAGGAAAUAAAAGUAUUGACACAUAUAAAAAGGGGCAUUUCACUAACUAUUGUGAGUAAUAUAGAAGAGUUAAAAACAUUCGUAGAAAACACAAUAUGACAUUGUACCUGUCCGUUGUUUACAGUUUAGUUUACAUGUGUGCAGCUCCCGACGUUGGAUUACGACCAGGGUACUGCGGCCCGGGAUAUUUUGGAUUGUUUUGUGGAGAUAUUUGCCCAUAUCCUUACUACGGUAAACUCUGCGCUGACACGUGUUCUUGCGCAAAAAAAUAUUGCAGUCAUGUGAAUGGAUGCAUACGUGCUUCCAGUUGUCCAUCCGGAUUUAUUGGUAGUUUUUGUGAAUCAAAGUGCAUCUUUCCGUCCUAUGGAGUCGGUUGCCAACAAAAAUGUCUUUGCACGGAAGCAGUCUGUAACUUUUCAACCGGAUGUCAAA